CGUCUGGAAUACCACACCAUGUAGCUGCAGCGAGUGAGAUCAAGGGAUCAUGGAGCAGAGCAAGGAAAACGGUAUGACCACAAGGUGGCAGUAGCACACAAUGAGACUUACGCGGGCAGCGCUUUGACAGGUUUGCACGGGAGGAGAGUCCCUCUCCACAGGAGACCUUCCAAGGAAGAACAGGCCGUGGAGUAUCUCUCGGUCGGGGUGGGGAUUUCCUUUCGGCUCACCUAUUGUCCCUGUAGUUACUGACACCACCACCAGAGAUUAACAGCACUAUACUCCUCUGGGCCAUUUUGCUGUCCGUGACAUAAGACCUGAUUGUUCACACCAUAUAGAAACCUUCCUAGGUGGAAACUUACCUACAAACUGCCUCCUAAAAUAAGACAACCCUCUGUUUAUCCUGU